UCACUACUCAGGGGCUUUAGAGGCCCAAUC
rnacentral:piRNA from 1 species